CGCGCCGCUCCCGUUACUCUUCUAUCCCGUCUCUAUGGUAGAGCCGGUCUCAGAGGCGGCAGUGGUGUUGGCGACUUCGGUGAAGAAAAACUGGGCUGGUUUGGAUGAGGAUGAAGAUGCACAUGUCUGGGAG